rnacentral:lncRNA from 1 species
AGAAAAAUGAAGAGGAGGAUCCGUUUGAAAGGAGAAGGAAGAAAACCAGUGGAAACAGGAGUGAGCCAGCUUUGCUCCUUUUCUUGAGCUUUCAACCAGGCUGCCUUCUCCUAUGGCAUUCCCUCCUUUUGUAUUACCUGGAAGAAACAAAUUAUAUUGUCCCAGCCACCAGCAAACUGUUACAGAACCAUUAAGGUAACUACGUUACCUAAUUGAGCGAAUUGAGUAAUGCGAGAUCUUGUUAUUAUAACCUUUGUCCUUAAAAAAUGUGAACUAAUAGAAGCCAGCUGCUAAAUUGGCCCGCAGCCAUCUAGUUUUCCUAAAGAUCAUGAUUCACGGCGCUUCACAAAAGCCGU